rnacentral:lncRNA from 1 species
AUGGAUGUGUCGAGCAACAGUUCCAGUGAUGAGGCAGAACCGCAAACUUUAAGCUGCAGAAGACAAGAGUAUGAGGAUCAUGUGAAUGGCUCCCAGAAAUCACUUGUUCGUAGACCAAAAUCCUCCUCCAUGGUAGACCUGGACGAUGCCAAUCUCAAACAAGGCACAAAAGUCAGUGUCAAAAAGAAGUGGUCGGAAGAAGAGGUUGGGGCAGUUGAAAAGCAUUUGAUGCAUUUCAUACGCAGCUGUCGAGUUCCUGGGAAGACGGACUGUGUCUCAUGCCUGUUAGCUGAGCCUGAAGCACUGAAAAACAGAGACUGGUCUGCUAUUAAGUUUUAUAUUAAUAACAGAAUUACUGCAUUGAAAAGACAACAGAGUCGGUAG